UUCCUUCACAUGGCAGAUGUGAGCACAUACCCACCGCGUGUCACAGACAGCGCUGUUCUCUAUGUUACCGCGCCCUUGGGUUUCAGUGCUUCCCUGAAGUCACCCUGGGGAACCCCCAAAACACGGAGUGGGGGCUCUCCUUGAAGUGGAAACAAAGUCCUUCUGGAGCUGUAAGACACCAGGGGCACAAAGAUUAAUGACAGCCUGGUGAGGUUUCAGCACAAAUACCUUUGCACAUUGGAAGCUCUGCAAAGACACAGUGAUUCAUGCCUCUGGAAGGGAAAAGAAAGCUGAGGCAGGACAUGCAAGCUGUGAGAGGAUCCGAUAUCAAAAGAGCUGGAGCCUCUCGUGAGCACCCAGCCGUACCAACACAAAUACAUCCCUGCACGACUCACGGCGGAGCCACAGCUGAACGCAGGCCGUCGCUUUAGUGAGCGCUAAGCUGAUUUGGCUGCGCAGCUCAUUCAUCGAGGAGCAAAGAAGACAGGGCAGGAAGCAUCACUCAGUAAUGAAUUACACACGACACAAAAAAGCCACAGGUGUGGUUUUAGAGUCUGUGCAUGCAGCCGCCGCAGCCCUGGAUUCCACGUAAUUGCUAGCACAGUAUCCUCACCCUGGUGGCAUUUCUGCAGCUCCCAUUCCUGUGACGUGGGAAGUCUCUCCAUAUGCUGACUUCAGGACAUCAAGUUAUCCUCAAGAGCCCUCAAAAUAAAUGCAUCCUCAUCCCCACGCUGUGACCUAUCCGUUCACUGGGGCAGUACAUCAAGUCCCCUGAAAAACUACACGUGCAGCUGGUCAGACACACAGAAUCAUAGAAUGGCUUGGGUUGGAAGGGAACUUAAAGAUUAUUUAGUUCCAACCCCUGCUGUGGGCACACAGGGCACAGACAUCUCAAGAUCAACAUUUUCUGCUUCCUCAGUGUCAUUCGGCAUGGGUUUUUUUGCCCCUUGGUGAAGAUGAGCUUUGUUCUUUGGGAUCAGCCUAUUUCCUCUCCUCAAUAGAGAGCCAUCGGCUGAGUGGGGACCCCGUGGCUCCUGGGCAGGUACCCAGUGAGCUCCACCCGGCCACCAGGGGUGAUCUCAGCAGUAUUCUGGCCUCAAAACCACGCAGAACAACUAGUCCUUUCCAGUGUGAUGUCCCUGCCAACAACAAUCAUCUGGUGUUUUGGAGAAAUCACCAAAAGAGGGUUGUUUUUUUUUUUUUGUCUGGCUUUAAAUAGUAUUAAAUAUUUGCAGCCCUUUUCAGUAACAAAGGACACAAAGAAAAGAGGGGAAAAGAAGUCUCACUUCUUUGGUUGUUUUUGCUGAAUUUGGAAAGGCUCGUGGAUCAAAGCUCAAAAAGCUGCAAGUUUAUGGAAGACACAUUAGCAAUGCUUAGUGAGGAAAAAUUACUGAACUGUGUAAGGAAGACAACCAACCAAAUCCAGUGGAUUUAGUCAAUGGACAAACUCAGGGAGAACAAUUCACCACGAGGAAGUGUGCUGAGAGCCUUCAGACAGCUCAAUGGGAGCCACUCCAAACUCAAACCCAAGGCAGGUCACAGCGUGCAAAAGCACCAACAGGAGGAGAUAUAUUUUAAUCCAUUAGAUUGUAUUUUGCAAGAAGCAGAGCCUCUGGGGAAGCCAUUAUCCUCACACAGAUGUACUCCUGUGAAAAAGAAGAAAAAUACCUAGGCUCCCUGAUGCGAGAGGUCAAACAAUUACAAUUUCCUUAAUUUCAUAUCCAGUUGGGAAAUUAAAUAACAGAACUAUGAAAAGCUUUACACUUCCCCUUCUGAAGAAAGUGGCAAUUUAAAUUAAUUUUUUUAAUGCUAUAAGAAUUGAUGAGUGAGUAUAGGAGGGGCCUUUUCCCCAGCGCCCUUUUCCCCACCACCCUUUUUAAACAGCCCUGCUCAUUCAAUGGACAAAAAGAAAUAAAUAAAUCCAAGGGACACGGAGUCUCUCAUGAAAGAGCGAUUCCUCUGCAGACAAAGCACAACGUGUUGCUUCUCCAGGAGCCGUUUUAUUUCAUUAAUAGUCCUCCCUUCACAACUCAAUGAGCUUUGUCCACAAUUUUUUUUUUCCCCCCUCAGAGGUGGACUUUUAGUCUAUGGAAAGAAGCAGCAUUCAUUCCUGAUCCUACAGCUUACAAGGAUGACUUGGGGAACAUGGGACCCGUGGUCCAUCUGGCCUCAAGCUACGUCUCUCUCCCACAGCAGCUCCUCCUAAUCUCAGUGGAAAGACUCUGCCUUCUCCACAGCUCCAUGAGUUGAACCAUGGUCAUGCUCUUCUGGUUACUACAUCAGAAAAAGUUCCAAGGGUUCUUGUAGAGAACUUGCUCAAGGUCCUCCCUUUGCAUAGGGCUCCUUCCAGCUCUGGAGCAAAGUAAGCUCCUGCAACACAGUACUGACAUGGAAAAAAGAGAUGUGGAAGAUGUACCAAGAUGCCUACAUGGUUUCUGAACAGGCCGCAGUCACGGCAUUCCUGCACGGCACUUUCAUCAGAAAGAGCCUGCAAUGUGGAAGCGUAUGGCCCUCUCUCAGUGCUACCCUGUACACGAUAUGCACAAAACCUGGUGGCAGCAGCCAGGCAGUGAAAGCUGCUGCCAGGAAGAACAUGUGAUUAACAGAGAAACAAUCUAAGGCUUGAAGCAGAGCAAACAGGGCUCAGAAUACUGGACUGCAGGACAAAACAAAAACAGGAAAAAAACAUUAGCACUUGCACACAGACCAGGCAAACAAAAAUAAUCUGCUCAUACAGCUGGCCAUGGGGGAUAAAGAUGAGAAAAUGAAUUGAAAAUCUUUUUCUACUGUUUCACUGGGAAAAAAUAAAUAAACAGGAGAUUCCCAUUUAUUUAUUUAUUUAUGCUGGAAUUAACCUAUGGAACACUUACUAACAGGGCUCCGCAGAUACUGUUAUGCAGAGCCUUGAGAAAUUACUGUUUAAAGCAUCACACCCCAGAACCAGCAAGGCAACAGAACUGCAAACUUUCAUCACAGAGCUGCAAACUCUGGCACCCACGUGUGACUUAGCAGACAUUAAAGAUUUUCUAAUUAAAGACGAGGCCAUUUGCAAGACAGAUGAUUUCAGUUUACUGGCAAGCCUGUUGGGAGACGACUGAACCACAGCUAAAGGCAUGCAGGGAGCAGCUCACAAGCAGCUUGGACCGGGGCCGGUCAGCUCAUGUCCCUGGGCACCAGCACAAAUGGCAGGGAGGGAACAACCAGCUGCAGGCAGUGAAGACCAAAAGCAGUUUGUGUCCUGAUGCUGCAGGAAGCUUUAGGAAAAAAAAGCAGCCGUAAAUACAGUUGUGAAGACAUAGAAACUUCCAGUCUGAAGAGAGAAAGCAGGCUGACAUUUGCAGACGGCAGAGCUCUUGGUGCACAUCUGCUGGGAGCAGCCCCAGAGGACCAGCUCUCCUGGAGCCACUCACCACGCGCUGUGGUUCCAGCUGCAGCGUAAUCCCAGUGACUGAUAAGCAGCAGUAUCACGCUACAGAAACAAGACUAAGGGUGGAUAAAACCACUGCAAGGCCAACUGAUUUAAAUAAAUAAAGCCCCAGAGA